AAGUGUUGCGUCAGAAUCUGCUUUCAGCUUUGCAGGUGGAAUCAUAAGUGAUCAUCGUAGCAGUUUGAGCCCGAGGACUGUUGAGACAAUAAUGUGCUUGCAAGAUUGGUUUAGAGGAUCUAGUGUUGAUAGGGACAAACUGAUCACACAAACAGUUGAGGCUUUCAUCUAUUUUGACAAUGAAGCUGGGCAAGAAGAAGCUGCCCCUCAGGAACCCAGCAAAGUGAAGCACACGAAACUUUCAACUAGGAAUGAAGAAGCUGCCCCCCAGGAACCCAGCAAGGUGAAGCACUCGACCCAUUCAGCUGAAAACUCGAGUCGAAAGCGAGCUAAAGGAGGAGGAUCACAGACUCGUUGAGGUAAUAUUUUCUUCCAGUUGUGUUCUGUUCUAGAUAGUGAAAGAGAGAAAAUAAACUCUUGUUAACUCGGAGUGCAUAAAUAUUGCAUACGCUAAAUGAACCUGAAUGAUAAAUUAGAAAUAUGUCAGUAGGCUGUCAGUAUAUGAUUUGUAAAACUAUAGCAAUCUAAAUCCCAUCAAAUGGAAGUUGUGUGUUCGCUUUA